rnacentral:lncRNA from 1 species
CUGCACAGCAGGAACUCUCACUCCCAUUUCACGGAGGAGAUGAGGACACAGGCUCAGGAGAAGCCUGACAGCUCUGGUUUAUCCACCACUGAAAGAACCAGCAAGCCCCUACAGGCCCUCCCGACAGCGCCUCCAGAAACAAACCUGGCCCAGCCAUGUGGUUACCCUGAUCUGAUCUGCCAUGAGAAAGGUCACAAACAGGGACUGGAUCUCAGCACAGAGGGCUGCCAGCAACAGUUCCCGAGCCCCCUCCCCCCAUGUUCCAGCAGGACAGCUGUCACAAAGUCCAGCUUUCUGCUGGGGAGGAGACAAGCAAGUCCCCAUGUGGCCAGCUAGACCCGCCUGUGAGCCUGUGAUUGUUCUGCCACAGGUAAGGCAGGGAAAGAAAAGCUCAGAGCUUGGGGCUGAGUGGGUGAAUAUGUCAGAGAAGGGCCUUUUAGGGCCAAGCAGCCUCUGGGCUUGAUCCAGAAUAAAAUCACUCACAGGCUUCCAGGCGCAACACACACACACACACACACACACACACACACACACACACACAGUGGCUUCCAGGCGCAACACACACACACACACACACACACACACACACACACACACACACACACAGUGGCUGCAAAUCCAAAAUUUAAGGAGCCUUGUGGGUCUCCACAGCCCCAGGUUGGCUGAAUGCCUGUGAAUAGGGUGCAUGGAGAGAAUCUCAAAGGUCCAGGAGGUAGGUUUGGGAAAAAACUGGGUCUCAGAAUCUGGGCUGCACACUUAGAGCCUAGGAUACCUCUUGGCUUGUUUUCCCACUUAGGGCUGCAGGCCCCCAGCAGCCUUCUCUGUAGAUCUAUGCUCUAGGAUUGUGGGUAAUGCAGUCCACAGAGGCCAGGCUCCUAGUGAUGCUGCUUCCUGCCCUCUCCUCCCCUCCUCUCAGGCCCCUGACAGCCACCCGCCUUCCUGCUCCAGGAGGAGGGCAAGUCAGAGUGAGGAGGUGGGCUCCUUGCAGGGAUGGGAGAUCCCAGGCUGGAAACCAGUGAGCUAUUUAUGAUUGAGCUUAGCCAAGGGGCAAGGUGUGAGGGGAGCUCCUGUAGGCUGCUACAGAAUUUGCAGGAACCCCAGGCCUCUGCUUGGGUAGGGCUUUUAUUCUCUUCUGUGUGCAGGGUCCUUGAUUCUUUUUUUUUUGAGACGGAGUCUCACUGUGUCACCCAGGCUGGAGUGCAGUGGUCUG